GGGCUUGUGGUUUAGUGGUAUAAUACUCCCUUAGCAUCUGCGGCUCUAGGGCCUUUGAAAAUUGGGAGUGGUCCGGGGUUCGAUUCCCCGCGAGUCCA
rnacentral:tRNA from 1 species